rnacentral:rRNA from 3 species
AUACCUAUUCGAAGGGAUAGGGUCGGUUCGGCCGGAUUUUACACAAGUGUUGCAUGGCUGUCGUCAGCUCGUGUCGUGAGAUGUUGGGUUAAGUCCCGCAACGAGCGCAACCCUCAUCCUUAGUUGCCAUCAGGUAAUGCUGAGUACUUUAAGGAAACUGCCAGUGAUAAGCUGGAGGAAGGUGGGGAUGAUGUCAAGUCAUCAUGGCCUUUAUGGAGUGGGCUACACACGUGCUACAAUGGUGUCUACAAUGGGCUGCAAGGUGCGCAAGCCUAAGCUAAUCCCUAAAAGACAUCUCAGUUCGGAUUGUACUCUGCAACUCGAGUACAUGAAGUUGGAAUCGCUAGUAAUCGUGGAUCAGCAUGCCACGGUGAAUACGUUCUCGGGUCUUGUACACACUGCCCGUCACGCCAUGGGAAUUGGUUUCACUCGAAGCU